UAGGGAAUCUUCGGCAAUGGGGGGAACCCUGACCGAGCAACGCCGCGUGAGUGAAGAAGGUUUUCGGAUCGUAAAGCUCUGUUGUUAAGGAAGAACGAGUGUGAGAAUGGAAAGUUCAUACUGUGACGGUACUUAACCAGAAAGGGACGGCUAACUACGUGCCAGAAGCCGCGGUAAUACGUAGGUCCCGAGCGUUGUCCGGAUUUAUUGGGCGUAAAGCGAGCGCAGGCGGUUAGAUAAGUCUGAAGUUAAAGGCAGUGGCUCAACCAUUGUAGGCUUUGGAAACUGUUUAACUUGAGUGCAGAAGGGGAGAGUGGAAUUCCAUGUGUAGCGGUGAAAUGCGUAGAUAUAUGGAGGAACACCGGUGGCGAAAGCGGCUCUCUGGUCUGUAACUGACGCUGAGGCUCGAAAGCGUGGGGAGCGAACAGG
rnacentral:rRNA from 1 species